UCCUUGGUGGUCUAGUGGCUAGGAUUCGGCGCUUUCACCGCCGCGGCCCGGUUUCGAUUCCCGGUCAGGGAA
rfam:Oryctolagus cuniculus chromosome 13, whole genome shotgun sequence.